GAGAAGCAUUUGAGAAGCAUUUUUUCUAUUUAAAAUUUAAAUUCACUUGUGCAAAUGCUCUUAAGCUGUGAAGUGCUUUAAAUAAUUAAUAAUAUUAGUAAUAUAAAGAAUUCAUUCAUAACCGGAAUUUUCUCAAUAUAUUGUUUUGCGGAACAAAAAGGCAAAUAAUAUGUCUGACAAACAACAUGAAAGUGGAGCACAAAAACGUUAAAAACGAGAAUAAAACGCUGCUUAGCUCAAUGAGCAAUUGAAAAAAACACCAAAACUAUUCCAACAUGGUUUUACUCGCAAAUCUGAGAAUCAAUCUCAGCAUCCCACCACAACAAUAUCUACUUUAGAGCCAGAACCGCGAACUGUACAGUGUAUAGAACAGAUUGGCGAAAAACAAGAUGAAAGAAAUUUUAAAGGUGCAGAAGAAAAAAAUGAGGAAGCGGUCUUAGAUUGCAUAACCGAAUGUAAUUUAGCAGUGGAAAAAGAAAUGGAAUACCAGAGUUAUAUUGAUUUAUGGAAAAAUAUCACAAACGAA